rnacentral:rRNA from 1 species
GACGAACGCUGGCGGCGUGCUUAACACAUGCAAGUCGAACGAAGUGGCGAACGGGUGAGUAACGCGUAGUCAACCUCCCCUUCGGAGGGGGACAACAGUUGGAAACGACUGCUAAUACCGCAUACUGAAGAAGGGGUUUGCGUGUGAUUAGCUAGUUGGAGGGGUAACGGCCCACCAGGGCGAUGAUCAGUAGCCGGUCUGAGAGGAGGAAAGGCCACAUUGGGAAUGAGACACGGCCCAGACUCCUACGGGAGGCAGCAGUGGGGAAUCUUCCGCAAUGGAGGAAAGGCUUACGGAGCAACGCCGGGGGAGUUAUGACGGCCUUCGGGUUGUAAAGCUCUGUUAAUCGGGACGCGGUACCGGAAUAGAAAGCCACGGCUAACUACGUGCCAGCAGCCGCGGUAAUUC